AUUGAACGCUGGCGGCAGGCCUAACACAUGCAAGUCGAGCGGAUGACGGGAGCUUGCUCCUUGAUUCAGCGGCGGACGGGUGAGUAAUGCCUAGGAAUCUGCCUGGUAGUGGGGGACAACGUUUCGAAAGGAACGCUAAUACCGCAUACGUCCUACGGGAGAAAGCAGGGGACCUUCGGGCCUUGCGCUAUCAGAUGAGCCUAGGUCGGAUUAGCUAGUUGGUGGGGUAAUGGCUCACCAAGGCGACGAUCCGUAACUGGUCUGAGAGGAGGAUCAGUCACACUGGAACUGAGACACGGUCCAUACUCCUACGGGAGGCAGCAGUGGGGAAUAUUGGACAAUGGGCGAAAGCCUGAUCCAGCCAUGCCGCGUGUGUGAAGAAGGUCUUCGGAUUGUAAAGCACUUUAAGUUGGGAGGAAGGGCAGUAAGUUAAUACCUUGCUGUUUUGACGUUACCGACAGAAUAAGCACCGGCUAACUCUGUGCCAGCAGCCGCAGUAAGAC
rnacentral:rRNA from 1 species